rnacentral:lncRNA from 12 species
GGGUUAUGAUGUUUUCAACAGCUCAUGGUGUAACCAGAAACACGUAUUGUUUUCUCUUUCCAGCCCUUCUCCUUCCUUUCUGGGGACUGUACUGCACUUAUGUCUAUAAUGAAGGGAUUUCAGUCUGGUUUGAGUUAAUUCUAGCAGCACUCUAGAGCAGCAUUCUUAUAGCCAAGAAAAACAACCUGGCUU